rnacentral:rRNA from 1 species
GCAUAUCAAUAAGCGGAGGGAAAAGACAGUCCGACAGAGGAUUGCCCUAGUAACGGCGAGUGAAGCGGCAACAGCUCAAAUUUGAAAUCUGGCCUUCGGGUCCGAGUUGUAAUUUGCAGAGGAUGCUUUUGGCGCGGUGCCUUCCGAGUUCCCUGGGCAUGGGACGCCUUAGAGGGUGAGAGCCCCGUACGGUUGGACACUAAGCCUCUGUAAAGCUCCUUCGACGAGUCGAGUAGUUUGGGAAUGCUGCUCUAAAUGGGAGGUAAAUUUCUUCUAAAGCUAAAUAUUGGCCAGAGACCGAUAGCGCACAAGUAGAGUGAUCGAAAGAUGAAAAGCACUUUGAAAAGAGGGUUAAAUAGCACGUGAAAUUGUUGAAAGGGAAGCGUUUGCGACCAGACCUUUUCCUGGCGGAUCAUCCGGUGUUCUCACCGGUGCACUUCGCCAGGUCGAGGCCAGCAUCGGUUUUCGUAGGGGGAUAAAAGCCUGAGGAACGUAGCUCCCUCGGGAGUGUUAUAGCCCCUCGCAUAAUACCUUUACGGGGACCGAGGACCGCGCCUUCGGGCAAGGAUGCUGGCAUAAUGGUUGUCAACGACCCGUCUUGAAACACGGACCAAGGAGUCGAACAUUUGUGCGAGUGUUUGGGUGUUAAACCCUCACGCGUAAUGAAAGUGAACGGAGGUGAGAGCCCCUUGCGGGGUGCAUCAUCGACCGAUCCUGAUGUCUUCGGAUGGAUUUGAGUAAGAGCAUAACUGUUCGGACCCGAAAGAUGGUGAACUAUGCGUGGAUAGGGUGAAGCCAGAGGAAACUCUGUGGAGGCUCGCAGCGGUUCUGACGUGCAAAUCGAUCGUCAAAUCUGCGCAUAGGGGCGAAAGACUAU